CAAUAUCAUGUUGAAACACCGGUUCCCGUACGAUCACCGAAGUUAAGCAACGUCGAGCCUGGUCAGUACCUAGAUGGGUGACCGCUUGGGGGAAUACCAGGUGCUGUAA
rnacentral:rRNA from 1 species